rnacentral:lncRNA from 13 species
UUUGGGCCAAAUACACUUUGUUUUCUAAAGCAGAGUCUACUAUUACAGCUGUUCCACAUAAAGCUGAUGCCAUUGUCUUCAUCUCAGCCCCACUGGGAGCGUGCUUCUGCUCUGUGUUCCAAGCAGCAAUAAUGGAUUUAUGGAGAUAUUCACAUACUUCUCCCUAGCCCCUCCCAAUCCCCAGCAGGGUCCCAUUGUUACAGCAUCGCUGGUCAACAUCUCCACACUCUAACAUGCAUCCUGAGCCAAAUGGACCGCUGGUUCCUGACUCAGGUCUAUGAUCUUGGUGUUAUCAACACCAAGUCUAUGAUCUUGGUGUUAUCAACACACCAAGUGUGUCAUCAACACACUAGUCUCAAUAAAUGAGCCAGGCAGCCUCAGAGAAAUGUGGAUUGAUAUAGGAUAAAGCCUUUACACCUUGUGAAGGGAGAGUCUGGUGUUCCUAGAACCAAGGCAUGAGAAAGCUGGUUGAACUGAAUUCCAAGAAGCUGCCAGCUGCUUCUUGUGAACGAACCUCUUGGGGUCCUGAAGUGCCACGGACUGCGGAGAAUUCAGACAGAGGCCAUGUUAAAAAGAACUGUGGUCGCUAGGGGACCCGCAACCAAUUAGAAUGACCUUUCACCCAGGUGCAGUCUGACUACCUUGCACCCGGAUACAGUCUAACCGGACUGAAGUCAGCCAUGAGCAAACCGGGAAGUGAAUAGACCUUAAAGUUCACUGUGGUAACUAAGUUCAAUACAACAUCCUAAAAGGUCUAAGCAUAUUUUAUUUUUAAGGCUUAAAAUAACAUCCAGUUCAACUUCAAAAACAUUGAGUUAACAUGUAAAGACAGCUUUAAAAAAAAAAACUAUGUAAAAUUUCCAUUACAUGAUACGUGCUGUCUUUAAGUAAAGAUAAAAGGGUACAUUUCUUUAAUAUUACAUACCUUGGGACAAAAUAUCAUUUUGUUAUUAAAAACGCUUAUAAUUUUUGAAAUUCAUGCAUUGAUGACUAUUUUUUAAAUGUGUCAAAUGGUUACUUUUUAAAAUAGUCUAGACAUUCUUGUAUAAUCCAGACUGUUUAAUUUCUUGUACUUCACUAGAACUUUUGCAGCGGGCCACAAAAAAUUUGUAAAAAUAUCUGGUG